UUUACGGAGAGUUUGAUCCUGGCUCAGGACGAACGUUGGCGGCGCGCAUAAUGCAUGCAAGUCGAACGAAGUCCCACCCUUCGGGGUGACGACUUAGUGGCAGACGGCUGAGUAACGCGUGAGUGAUCUGCCUUUGGGUAGGGGAUAACAGAGAGAAAUUUCUGCUAAUACCGCAUACGAUCCGCAGAAUAGAGGCUGUGGAUGAAAGGUGCCGGGUAACCGGUUUCCGCCCUUAGAUGAGCUCGCGUCCUAUCAGGUAGUUGGUGGGGUAAUGGCCUACCAAGCCUUAGACGGGUAACUGGUGUGAGAGCAUGACCAGUCAGAGGGGGACUGAGACACGGCCCCCACUCCUACGGGAGGCAGCAGCAGGGAAUCUUCCACAAUGGGCGAAAGCCUGAUGGAGCGACGCCGCGUGAGGGAUGAAGGCUCUAGGGUCGUA
rnacentral:rRNA from 1 species